CACAAAUUUAAACUUCCGACUCAUACUAUAUUUAUUGUCAUUGCCCGCUUGACAACACUGUAAAACGUCGACAUUUAAUUGAAAAGAUUUUGAACCAUCUACAGCUAGGGCUUAAGAUGUUACUAGGCAAAGCAUUGUGUAUAUUAGCAUUUAAUGUUGUGUCAUUCAACCGUGGAGUGUAUGGUUUAGAUUGGCCAUGGAAUUGGAAAAAGGAAGAUGUCACAUGUUACACCACGUGUUUGGCAGCAGUUGGUACAGGUGCAGUUGUUGCAACCCCAUUGGCAAUAUCAGCAUCAGGAUUUGGCGCCGCAGGUGUUGUUCCUGGAUCUCUUGCUGCUAAAAUUAUGUCUAUGAUAGGAGUUGUGAAGGCCGGAAGCUGGUUUGCCUUUUUACAAUCGGUUGGCGUUACCGGUGUUGGGGCAACGGGUAAAAUGGUAUUGGCCUCUACUGUUUCACCAUUGUGUGCAGCUAUAUGCGGGAGUAAAGAAGAAGACCUAAAAUGUAAUACUCAUAGAAUCGAUGGAAUGAAAGGCUUAGAUGAAAAUGUCAUAAAAGUUGAUAGAGUAAAUAAUAUAGAAAAAUGCGAAGGGCUAUGCAACGACCAAAAGAUUGCAGGGCCUUCCGAUAUUUGACAAAAAAUAGCGUGUGUUUUGUUUACAAUUUACAACAACAUAUUGAAGACGAUAUCAAUGAAAGCCAGUUCUAUGUGAAACGUUGCGUUUUAUGCUACAUGAACACCACGAAAAAUGCAAAAGGACGUGACGAUGAAAUUGAAACAGUUUGGGAAGAAGUAUCCUCUCUCAAAGAAUGUGAGAAUAAUUGUAUCAAGUCAGACGACUGUGGUGCUGUUCAUUUUGAUGGAGCAAGGUGCUUCAAAUUUAAAGAUGAAGUAAAACCAUAUGAGAAAACUGGCUUUGAUUUUGCAAGAAAGAUCUGUGUUCAGUAUACGGAUUAAAUUGAAAAUGAUGGUGAUAAAUAUAAACAGAACGGUAAUAGUUGACUGUAACGGAUAAUUGAUAACUUAACGAUCAUCUCACUUUAAGGAAUAAAAAUAGAAAUGUAUAAAAUGUGUGGAAAAAACCGAGCAUUAUAAAGGGGAAAAAGCUUCGUUUUAUUAUUAAUUUGUUGUUGUGUUGUGUGUUUACUAUUUUUGUUCGCUAUUUAUCUUCACACUUACCUUGAUUCAAUAUUUGACUUAUUUAUACGUUUUAUUAUUUAUGUAAGUAAGUUAAAUUUUUUCCAAGAAAUUUGUUUUAAAUA